AACGAACGCUGGCGGCAUGCCUAACACAUGCAAGUCGAACGAGACCUUCGGGUCUAGUGGCGCACGGGUGCGUAACGCGUGGGAAUCUGCCCUUGGGUUCGGGAUAACAGUUGGAAACGACUGCUAAUACCGGAUGAUGACUUCGGUCCAAAGAUUUAUCGCCCAGGGAUGAGCCCGCGUCGGAUUAGCUAGUUGGUGAGGUAAGAGCUCACCAAGGCGACGAUCCGUAGCUGGUCUGAGAGGAUGAUCAGCCACACUGGGACUGAGACACGGCCCAGACUCCUACGGGAAGCAGCAGUGGGGAAUAUUGGACAAUGGGCGAAAGCCUGAUCCAGCAAUGCCGCGUGAGUGAUGAAGGCCUUAGGGUUGUAGAGCUCUUUUACCCGGGAUGAUAAUGACAGUACCGGGAGAAUAAGCCCCGGCUAACUCCGUG
rnacentral:rRNA from 1 species